rnacentral:rRNA from 1 species
AUACAGAGGGUGCGAGCGUUAAUCGGAAUUACUGGGCGUAAAGCGCGCGUAGGCGGCUUGGUCAGUCGGAUGUGAAAGCCCCGGGCUCAACCUGGGAAUGGCAUUCGAUACUGCCAGGCUAGAGUAUGGGAGAGGGAAGUGGAAUUUCCGGUGUAGCGGUGAAAUGCGUAGAUAUCGGAAGGAACACCAGUGGCGAAGGCGACUUCCUGGCCCAAUACUGACGCUGAGGCGUGAAAGCGUGGGGAGCAAACAGGAUUAGAAACCCCAGUAGUCC